CUUUGAGUGUAAAAAUUUAAAUACCAGAACACUACGAUUAUUGGUUUUAAAAUUCAAAAAGCUUGGCGGUGCUGUAGACUAGUUAGGGGAACUUGUUCCAUAAUCGAUAAUCCACGUAAAACCUUACCUAAAUUGGCGUAUCAGCUUAUAUACCGUCGUCGGCAGGCAACCCCUAAGGGUAACAACGGUUGGCGCUAGAAAAAAUAGUUUUUUACGUCAGAUCAAGGUGUAGUUUAUGUUUAGGAGAGGAUGAGUUACAAUUAUUAUUUAUAAUUACGGAUUUAUCUAGGAAUGAGGAUAAUGAAGGCGGACUUAAUAGUAAAGGGGGUUAUACAAACCGCUUGAACAAGGCUCUGAGGUGCGUACAUAUCGCCCGUCGCUCUCGCUGAAAAGCGAGAUAAGUCGUAACAUAGUAGGGGUACCGGAAGUUGUUCCUGGAAA
rnacentral:rRNA from 1 species